rnacentral:rRNA from 1 species
AGGGCGGACGGGUGAGUUAACACGUAGGCAAUCAAGACUGUGGUAUAACUACUGGUAAACGGAUGCCUAAUACUCCGAUUACAUUAUCUAACCAGCACUGUUGGAACAAGAAAUUUAAUAUCAACAGAAUCACCAUACACUGGAUCCAACUGUCUGCACAUCGUCGAAAGGAUAGUAUUUAUGACAAAAGGCUCGGUAAUCAAGUGACAAGCGUCAGUAUAUAGUUAUAUACGAGCCACGAGCGUAUAGAUCAACACAAUGUCGAGCAUGUACUGAUCAAAUCUCAAUAACGACAAUCAGCAUACCAAGUAAAGAGGACAUACGAAUCCGGACUACAAGACUCCAUGUUCACCGCUUACACGGAGAAGCAUCCCUUACUGAAACAACAGGACGUCUUCUUCCGACGAUUCUACAAGCACGAGAUUAAGAAGACUAACUCUAUCCGGUACAUAAUAUGCGAGACUACGCAAGACUCAACCCGAGACUAGCAGGAGGUUUAGCCAAACGCGACAUGAUUGGUCUGUACAUAUAAGAGACACCCAGCAGUAGCAAGUCACAAUCUGGAACAGGUGUCCUACCGUUAUGAUUUAAGAUGCCUUCUUCCUGUAACAUCUCAAGGAGUACGUAGUCUGUAAUAAGAGUCCUCGGUACUCUUCAAUUUCCUGGCCCGUCGUCGCGCUUCUCCAAGUGAAACGAGUAGAGCGAAGCGCGCGUUAGAC